UGAGAUAAAGAUACGGAAGCAGUUGUAAUAGCUAUAAGCUAGUAUAAGGUACAAUUCCUAAUACUAUGCAUGAAAUACAUCUCUUCUUCCUAACAAUUGCUAGUUGAUUUCUUUGGUCUAUUAUUCCAAAAAUACGAUCAGAACAUGACUCAUACCAAUCUUUGAAAAUUAAACUUUACUGUAAUUGACCCAUUCUUUUGAGGUGUAAAAUUAAAUUCCUUCCCCAAUCUUGCAGAUGCAUUUUCUUGUAAAAUAACCUCAGGUAUUGUCUCUCCCCAUGUGGCCAGUCUUGGCCAUGGUGAUUUUGUCACAAAAGUCCAUCUUGUAUUUCCUGUCUCUGCUGCUGUGUUCUGUACCACUGCCGACAAUAACGACAAGAGUCACAGCCUGGUUACAAGUUCGUGUAGUGCCUUCUUCUCAUUCUUUCAAUUCCUUUGAUUCCUGGCCGUUCUGUGUUUUCUUUUCUGCUUGCCUCGUCCCUUCUGGAUAAUUCAGACAUCCUUUGUUCUGACCCAAAGUUCUCCAUCACCUGUGAAAAUAAGAACAAACCCUUGCCCCCAGGUUAGCACUUGCCCUGGGCCCUGCCAGACACAGUCAACGUCUCUCCACAUGACUUUCAUAUUGUGUUUAGGAAAAAGGAAUUUGUUUGAUUUAGUGGUGUCACUAGUACUGUUGUCAUUUCCUGCCAGAUAUUUCAUUGCAGGAGAGAGGUUACAACUGUCAAAUUUUAAAUAAUUUACAGUAUAGAGUGCAGUGUUUAAUUGAUGCCAUGGGGAUCCCUUAGCUUCCCCUUUUUGUUUUUGGAGCACCGUCUUUAAUGUAGGAUUGGUGCAUUCAACUAUGGCCUGACCACGAGGAUUAUAAGGAAGGCCAGUAGUAUGACUAAUAGAGAACUCAGUACAAAACUUUUAAAAACCCUGCGAAAUAUAUGCAGGACCAUUAUCAGUCUUUAAGCAUUGAGGUGGGUCAGCAAAAGAAAAAGCAAAUGAUUAAUAACAUAGCAGACAGCCUCACCCACUUGAGCAGUAGCAAAAAUAAAGCCUGAAUAAGUAUCAAUAGAAACAUGAACAUACUUUUGUCUUCCAAAGGGAGAAUAAUGAGUAACGUCCAUUUGCCAUAAGGCGUUAGGUGUAAGUCCCUUGGGGUUGUGUACAUCAACAUGAAAAGGGGGCUGAAAAGGCAUACAAGUAGCACAGCACUUAACAAUUUCACGUGCUUGUGAUUUUGUUAUGCCAUAUAAAGUUCUUAAAGACCUAGCAGAUAAAUGUAAUUGAUUAUGACUACUCCUUGCUAUUUCUACAUUCCUUGUUAAAGAUUUAUCAACAAAAUCAUGACCUUCAAAAAUUGGUCCUGGAGCAAGAGUAUGGGGCCAAACAUGCAAAACAUAAAAUUUUUCUGUCCUAUUCUGUAUAUAAUGUUGUAUAUCAUGAAGCAACUGACAGAUAUUAUUACCAGUAUUUUUUAUUAUUGCAGUCUCUAGGUGUUUUAGGAUUCCUUUUACAUAUUUACUAUCUGUGAUGAUAUUCAUUGGCUCCUUAUAUUUGUGAAAGGCACAAUAGACAGCAUAUAAUUCAUUCUGUUGUGUGGAGGUAAAAGGUAUAUUAAUCACCUGUAAUUCCUUUCUUUUAGGGCACCAGAUAGAAGCCUUAUUCAUCUUUGUGGUAUCAGUAAAGACAUUAAUUCCAUAUACGGGUUCACCUGAUGUAUGUGUGGGUUGUAUCCAAGGCCAAUUCUCAAAGAUUACAUGAUAUUUAAGGGGUUUUCCAUACACAAGCUUCAAACUGAUAUUCACUUGCCAGUUGGGCAUUGUUUGUAUUGCCAUUUCAACUAUUUGUUGAGAAAAUGGAAGGUAUAUGACUUCCGGAUGUGUGCCACAUAAUGUUAAACAUCUGUUAUCAAUUUUAUGUAUUAAGUCUCCUAUCACUUUAAUUACUUAAAGUGUUUUUUGGCUGAGAUGGUAAAUAUACCCAUUCUAAAAGCCUUUGCUUUUGAUGUAUUACUGCUGUUGGAGAAUUUGGGGUGUUAAAUAUAGAGGUUUCCACGCUUUCAUGCAUAUCAAUCCUGUUUGUGUGUGCUCCAAUUAGUUGUUCCUGAAUAUACAACAAUGUUUGCUUCUCCUCAGGGGUCAGUAUCCGGGGUGAAUCUAAUUGAGGAUCACCUCUAAGGCAAUCAUACAAGGGUCUGUUGUUGGUGGAUGUAAAACUACUUUCUCUUGAAGUAUUUGAUGGCCUAAAUAUUGAGAUGGUGGAUGUUUUUGAAUCUUUUCUGGGGCUAUUUGAAGCCCAUGACUUUGCAACAAUUCUUGUGUUUUUUGUAAAAUUUCUUCUAACACUUCAGGAUUAGGAUGAGCACAUAAAAUCUCAUCCAUGUGAUGUAUCAUUUUUAGCUUUUUGUAA